CGCCCGUCGCUCCUACCGAUUGAAUGGUCCGGUGAAGUGUUCGGAUUGGCUUGCUCGACGGGCAACCGCCUUGCUUGCCGAGAAGUUCUCUAAACCCUCCCACCUAGAGGAAGGAGAAGUCGUAACAAGGUCUCC
rnacentral:rRNA from 1 species